UCGCCUACGGGAGGCAGCAGUGGGGAAUAUUGCACAAUGGGGGAAACCCUGAUGCAGCAACGCCGCGUGAGUGAAGAAGUAUUUCGGUAUGUAAAGCUCUAUCAGCAGGGAAGAAGAUGACGGUACCUGAUUAAGAAGCCCCGGCUAACUACGUGCCAGCAGCCGCGGUAAUACGUAGGGGGCAAGCGUUAUCCAGAUUUACUGGGUGUAAAGGGAGCGUAGACGGCAGCGCAAGUCUGGAGUGAAAUGCCG
rnacentral:rRNA from 1 species